GGAUUCCCUUAGUAACGGCGAGUGAACCGGGAACAGCCCAGCACUAAGUCCUGCGGUCGCUUUACGUGGCCGUCGGGAGAUGCAGUGUUUGGGGCGGACCGCAUACGUCGUGUCGCACAUUUCCAAGUCCUUCUUGAAGGGGGCUUUACUACCCACAGAGGGUGCCAGGCCCGUAGGGAAUGUGGCAAUCGACCGUUGGUUCGCCCUUAGAGUCGAGUUGUUCGAGAUUGCAACUCUAAGCGGGUGGUAAACUCCAUCUAAGGCUAAAUAUAUCCAUGAGACCGAUAGCAAACAAGUACCGUGAGGGAAAGUUGAAAAGAACUUUGAAGAGAGAGUUCAAUAGUACGUGAAACCGUUCAGGGGUAAACCUGCGAAAGCCGAUUGAUUGUCGAAAGGGCGAGAUUCACGCGGUGGCACCGUGCGUCGUUGUCCGCGGCGGUCGUGACGUGCAAGUCUUCGGACGAGCGCGCACGCCGUCCGGCCGACCCGGGCUGCCGGUGCACUUCUCGUCCCUGUAGAGGACCGCGUCCGUUGGCCGGGCCGGGCCGCGGCGAUGCUGUCGCAUCUUCGGCCUCACUUCGGUGAGCGUCGGGUGCGAAGCCGCCGUCGAGUCCAACACGAGCCCGCGCCGACGCGAUGAAUAUUGCGAGGGAACGCGAGUGCCAAGACGUUUCGGCGUCUCGGCGAACAGUCCGUCCCGUCCUUGCCGCGAGGCGUCGCAACGCUGUCGACUUCGGUCGGCACGACCGCGCGCCUCCGUCGGUCUGGGCGCGGGCGGACAGCUGUUCGUGCUCGCGACACAGUUCCUGCUGCGGUGUCGUAUCGGCGAUCGCGGGACCCGUCUUGAAACACGGACCAAGGAGUCCAGCAAUUGAGCAAGUCGAAGGGCGUAACAAACCCGGAGGCGAAAAGAAAUUAAAGGCCGGCCGUCAGGUCGCGUCCGUGGGACGAUGCGUUCGUUAGGUCGAACGCCGCAGUCCCGAGGCGUCUCGCCCUCUCAUUGCGAGAUGAGGCGCCCUCCGAGCCCAUGCGCUAGGACCCGAAAGAUGGUGAACUAUGCCUGGCAAGGGCGAAGUCAGGGGAAACCCUGAUGGAGGCCUGUAGCGCUUCUGACGUGCAAAUCGAUCGUCUAAGCUGGGUAUAGGGGCGAAAGACUAAUCGAACCAUCUAGUAGCUGGUUCCCUCCGAAGUUUCCCUCAGGAUAGCUGGCGCAGGCGUGAGUCUCAUGCGGUAAAGCGAAUGAUUAGAGGUAUUGGGGUCGAAACGAUCUCAACC
rnacentral:rRNA from 1 species